GGAGUCCGAUCGCAAGAUUAAACUCAAAGGAAUUGACGGGGCCCCGCACAAGCAGCGGAGCAUGCGGCUUAAUUCGACGCAACGCGAAGAACCUUACCAAGGCUUGACAUAUACAGGAAUAUGCAGAGAUGUCAUAGCCGCAAGGUCUGUAUACAGGUGGUGCAUGGUUGUCGUCAGCUCGUGUCGUGAGAUGUUGGGUUAAGUCCCGCAACGAGCGCAACCCUCGUUCUGUGUUGCCAGCAUUUAGUUGGGGACUCACAGGAGACUGCCGGGGUUAACUCGGAGGAAGGUGGGGAUGACGUCAAAUCAUCAUGCCCCUUAUGUCUUGGGCUGCACGCAUGCUACAAUGGCUGGUACAAACGGCUGCAAUACCGCAAGGUGGAGCGAAUCCGAGAAAGCCAGUCUCAGUUCGGAUUGGGGUCUGCAACUCGACCCCAUGAAGUCGGAGUUGCUAGUAAUCGUAGAUCAGCAACGCUACGGUGAAUACGUUCCCGGGGCUUGUACACACCGCCCGUCACGUCACGAAAGUCGGUAACACCCGAAGUCAGUGGCCCAACCGCAAGGAGGGAGCUGCCGAAGGUGGGAUCGGUGAUUGGGACG
rnacentral:rRNA from 1 species